rfam:Gossypium hirsutum cultivar TM-1 chromosome 13, whole genome shotgun sequence
UGUUAAAAUUUUCAUCUAUUUCUUCUAUUAAAAAUUGGCGUGAUUGACAAAAUAACCAAAUGGUUUCAUGUGGCAGGCUACGUGUGCCUUAUGUUAACGUAUAGGGACUAAUUUUUAACAAUAAAAAUGGAUGGAAUUUUUAAUA